AGAGUUUGAUCCUGGCUCAGGACGAACGCUGGCGGCGUGCCUAAUACAUGCAAGUCGAGCGGACAGAAGGGAGCUUGCUCCCGGACGUUAGCGGCGGACGGGUGAGUAACACGUGGGCAACCUGCCCCUUAGACUGGGAUAACUCCGGGAAACCGGAGCUAAUACCGGAUAAUCCCUUUCUCCACCUGGAGAGAGGGUGAAAGAUGGCUUCGGCUAUCACUAGGGGAUGGGCCCGCGGCGCAUUAGCUAGUUGGUAAGGUAACGGCUUACCAAGGCAACGAUGCGUAGCCGACCUGAGAGGGUGAUCGGCCACACUGGGACUGAGACACGGCCCAGACUCCUACGGGAGGCAGCAGUAGGGAAUCUUCCGCAAUGGACGAAAGUCUGACGGAGCAACGCCGCGUGAGUGAGGAAGGCCUUCGGGUCGUAAAGCUCUGUUGUGAGGGAAGAAGCGGUACCGUUCGAAUAGGGCGGUACCUUGACGGUACCUCACCAGAAAGCCACGGCUAACUACGUGCCAGCAGCCGCGGUAAUACGUAGGUGGCAAGCGUUGUCCGGAAUUAUUGGGCGUAAAGCGCGCGCAGGCGGCUUCUUAAGUCUGAUGUGAAAUCUCGGGGCUCAACCCCGAGCGGCCAUUGGAAACUGGGGAGCUUGAGUGCAGAAGAGGAGAGUGGAAUUCCACGUGUAGCGGUGAAAUGCGUAGAGAUGUGGAGGAACACCAGUGGCGAAGGCGACUCUCUGGUCUGUAACUGACGCUGAGGCGCGAAAGCGUGGGGAGCAAACAGGAUUAGAUACCCUGGUAGUCCACGCCGUAAACGAUGAGUGCUAGGUGUUAGGGGUUUCGAUGCCCGUAGUGCCGAAGUUAACACAUUAAGCACUCCGCCUGGGGAGUACGGCCGCAAGGCUGAAACUCAAAGGAAUUGACGGGGACCCGCACAAGCAGUGGAGCAUGUGGUUUAAUUCGAAGCAACGCGAAGAACCUUACCAGGUCUUGACAUCCUUUGAUCACCCAAGAGAUUGGGCUUCCCCUUCGGGGGCAAAGUGACAGGUGGUGCAUGGUUGUCGUCAGCUCGUGUCGUGAGAUGUUGGGUUAAGUCCCGCAACGAGCGCAACCCUUGAUCUUAGUUGCCAGCAUUAAGUUGGGCACUCUAAGGUGACUGCCGGUGACAAACCGGAGGAAGGUGGGGAUGACGUCAAAUCAUCAUGCCCCUUAUGACCUGGGCUACACACGUGCUACAAUGGAUGGUACAAAGGGCAGCGAAACCGCGAGGUGAAGCCAAUCCCAUAAAGCCAUUCUCAGUUCGGAUUGCAGGCUGCAACUCGCCUGCAUGAAGCCGGAAUUGCUAGUAAUCGCGGAUCAGCAUGCCGCGGUGAAUACGUUCCCGGGUCUUGUACACACCGCCCGUCACACCACGAGAGUUUGUAACACCCGAAGUCGGUGAGGCAACCUUUUGGAGCCAGCCGCCUAAGGUGGGACAAAUGAUUGGGGUGAAGUCGUAACAAGGUAGCCAAGCCGAAUUCCAGCACACUGGCGGCCGUUACUAGUGGAUCCGAGCUCGGUACCAAGCUUGG
rnacentral:rRNA from 2 species